GGUACCAGUGAAAACAAUAAAAUCGGGCUUCUCAGCUUGAAUCAUGCGCUCAACAAAGGCAGUGGUGUUGAGGUCAGAGCAAGUAGGCAUCUGAUUUGGGAACACAUCGAGGCAAGACGUGGUCUUGCCAUCCGCAAAGUGCAUAUCUGCCACUUGCAGUAUCUUGAACUCUCCAUUUUUUCUAAAUCGCAGCUCUUUUUUCACACCCAACACAGAUUUUGGAACGAAGAAGCAUAGAGAAAAAACCACAACCCCCAAAAAGUGGGAGGGUGAAAUUCUUGGUGUGUUCUUCUUCGCCAUCGUUGUUACCUACUUAAAAUCAGCAAACCCGAUGCCUUCAGCAUUGUCUUACAGCUAGAUAUAGGGAGAGUGAGUCUAGUCCUAGUUUGGCAUGUAGCCUAGAGCUAAAGUGUGCAAGUCAAAAUCACAUUCAAGACAAAGAAAGCUUCACAUACUGAUCAUCUUCUUAAUAAAAUCAGAUUAAAUAUUUAAUAGUGCCCAAAAGGAUAUUCCUUUCCUUGUUGCGUAGUCAUUGAAGGGUGUCUUUUUUUUCUAUAAAAAUAUUUGUGUUAGAAUCAAACAGGAUUUUUGGGCAACGCGAGGUGGAGGACAGGGACUGUUUUAUGUUCUAGCUCUUUUACUCAAAUAUUAUUUUAUUUAGAUCUUAAUUUUGUGAACUCUACGAUCAACUCAAAAAAAGUAUUUGAUUGAAACAUUAAAAACAUGAUGAAUAAAAAAAAAUUCAUGUAUUUUAUUAAAAUAAAAUAAAAAGUAGAGUAUAAGUAGUGAUUUAGAGCUUCUUUUUUUUUUGUAUUUCAAAAGUAAUUUAAAAAAAAUUUAAAACAUUAAUAUUUUUUUAAUUUUAAAUUAAUUUUUUUGAAGUUUAGAUCAUUUUGAUAUUAUUAUAUUAAAAAUAAAAUUUUUAAAGUUUUUUUAAUAUAUUUUUAAAUAAAAAAUAUUUUUUAAAAACAAAAAUUACUAUAUCCUUUAAAGUUAAAUGAUGUGUUAUCAAAUAAUAGAAAAAUUAAUGAAAGAUAGGCUGAACUUAUUUGGAAAUUUUGAAAAAAUCGAUGUAUUUAAAUAAAAAAAUAUUAAAUUUCAUAUACUAGAUUAAAAAUAAGAGGAAAAGAUAAUGUACUAAUAUUGUAAUUAGUUCUUUAUUUAUUUAUGACAAAUUGAUCUUUUUAUGUUUGUCUACAGCAAUGUGAUGUUUUUUUUUAACUUUAAAUGAAUGUUUAGAAAUUCUGUAAUUUUUAUUUUUGGAUUUCACUUGAAAAUUAUUAAAUUAAUAAUUUUAAUAUGUUAAUAUUAAAAAUAAAAAAAAUAUUAUUUUAAUAUAUUUUUAAAUAAAAAAUAUUUUUUAAAAAUAAUUUAAACUACAAUAUAAAAUACAUGUUAAAUCCUCUUUAAAAACAGUAAAUUGCUUCAAUAUCUAAUAAUUUUUUUAAAUAUUAGUUUCAACGAGAAAAAUAUCAUUUUUUUAAAAUUUAAAUUUUAUUUAAAAUUAAUUUUUAUAUUAUUUUAAUGUACUAAUAUAAGAAUAAAUUUUAAAAAAUAAAAAUAAAAUUAUUUUAAUAUAUUUAUAAAUAAAAACACAAUCACCGAAACAUUCCAAAACAGGAUAAUAGUUGUCGUCGCCGAAACGGAUCUUGACACGUGAUUUGGUUGCACAUGUAACGAGGCUCAUGGACCAAACACAAAAAUAAUAUUAACUGGCAAAGUCCAAAAGGAAGAAAAACAUCAAGCUAUCAUUAUUAACACAGCCAUUAUUGAUACAACAGCUUUGAUGUGGAGAUUGAAAAUAAAAAAGCCGCUGCGUUGACAAUGUCACAGGACCUUGAACCCUCUGGCUUCUUUUGCUUUUUCAUUCUGAGAUAUUCACGGACCUGUAAUUAGAUCCAAGUUGUUCUCUAACUGGGUCCAACGCAGGCCGUCUACCCACAACCACCGUGAAGGAGCAGGCUACUUUCGGCCGGAUAAGCCUCAAAAUACAAGGCCAUCUACAUUAACAACACUACCGAGCUGCUAGCAUUGGCGAGCCUUCAACUCACACGACCAGCCCUCCAUGUUCCGAAAGAGUUGAGGGACUCGGAUGCUUUACUGAGAUGGCAACUGAUAGACAGAACUGACAGGGAAAGAGCAAGAGACCACGAUUUAUUUGAUGUCUUCUGCACGGGGAAUUCAAUAAGAUUUCCAUAUCUAGUAUGUCGAAAUGACAUCCGUUUCAACUUUCUAGCUUGCUUUUUAAGUUGAUCGAGCAAACACGAUAUGUUUCUAAACAAAUAGGUUUUCUCGGAUUUGAAAAUUCAGUAUUGUCUGAUUCACUUGCAUUCAUUUCAGGUGAUAACCAAUCACAAGGGCAUCAAUCAGAAUAUCAAAACUUUAUUACAAACUAUCAGAAGCUUGAGGAAACAAUUUGACAAAAAAGAGUUAAAUGAGUAAAACAGAUCUUGGGUGUACAACAAUCUGUUGUUACCAUCACAUCGGUCUUAUCAAUUGUGAUUUGAGGGGGCAAUUCAAAAAACUCCCAAUUCUUUCACUCUCCAGCAUAAACAAUAGUAAACUCAUAUCUACCAAAUGAAGCAUGCAAAAAUGUCAGUUCUGUUAUUUUGAUCCCGAACAAAACGACAAUAAGGAUCAGCGACAGUUAAUUACAGAGAAACAUAUUGCCUUCUGGUGCACAGGACAUUACAGGGAUAAAUCAAGAUCAUUACGAUCCAAUACUGCUCAAUGCUUGGUACAUUACCUACUGGCUUCACCAUUCAGAGUCGGAGAUUUAGGAUGUAUGCUGCCGGUCCAUGCUUCAUAUGCUCUUUCCUGAUGAUUUUUUCGAGUACGUUAUGCAGAGACCACUGAAAGAAGAGUAGAGAGCAAUAAGUUCCAGGGAUCUCCGAUCUAUUAAGGCUAACUCAACGGAUAAUCGCGAGUAGUACUCUUAUCUAGUAAAUCUCUUGAAGGAUUGGUCAAUUUUCCAUAUGUGUAGGUGUCUGGUAUUGGCUCUUCUAGUUUUAUUGCUACUUGGAUCUUGCUACCGUGCAUGGUGGGCAGUCUCUCUGGAAGUUGGCACAAAAUAAGAGAUCAAGUCACUAAAGUAACCGAGAAACGAGAGGCAAUGAAAACCCAUGACCCAACUAAACAUUUUUAAGUACCUCUGUCUCUUCAGCAUUGUAGAGCGACUUGUUCGGUGCAUUACAUGCUUAACUGGAAGAUUUGUCAGUGCGAUUUUCGUUGUACAGAUGGCUAUUAAUUCCAAUCUGGCGUUCCAGUCUGUUCCAUUCUGCAUUCUGCAUUCUGCUGGUCAAUAACAGCAACAGAGUGGCGAGACAUUGACUUGAACAACUAGUUUAUGGCUCUAGAUGGAGCCUGAUUCAACCCAGGUAUGGCACAAAUGCUCGCUUCAAGAUUAUCUGGAAGGGGUUCUUGAGAGAAUUAUUCACUUGCCAGCACAACUAAUUCUUGUGAUCCUUGAACAAUUCUCGUGAGGAAAAAUUUGUUUCAAGGCGAAUCAUCUUUUUGGCGCAUAAUUGAUGCCUUUUGGUACCUUAGUUUUUCAAUCUCUUUUGCUAGAAAGUCCAAAGUCGUGUCUGUGACAUGGUUUGGCAAGCAGCCUGCGUCCAACAUCAUUUUUAAGAAUUUAUAUGCGUCUUUCAACCGACCUGUCUUGCUAUGAACUUCAAUCAUAAUAUUAUAAGUGACCACAUCAGGAUUUAAUCCACUAAUCUUCAUCUGUUCGAAAAGAUUGUUAGCUUCAUCAAUCCUACCAGCCUUUCCCAGUGCAUCAAUCAGGGUGUUAUACAUAACAAUGUCAAGGUAACCACCUUGCUUCAUUAGCUUAUCUAGAACGGAGCUGGCUAGAUCUGCUCUCCCCAUUUUCCCCAACCCUUGAAUCACCAAAUUGUAUGUUGCGAUGUCUGGUGGGCAAACCUUUUCACCCAUUUCAUUAAAAACAUCCCAUGCCCUAUUGAAAUAACCCUUCUUCACAAAAGAACUCAUGAUAGAAUUGUAAGUGUAACUCACAGGGUCCACGCCCAUAUCAGUGAAUAUCUCAAACAACUUGCAGGCUAAGCUCAGCUUUCCCUUGGCCAAAAAUAUAGACAAGAACGUAUUCACCAUAUCAAUAUCAAAAGAGCCUGCCCCUUUAGCUUGAACUCUCUGGCCCCUAGCCAGCGAAAAUAGCUGAGAAGAAAGGUCAGUGGAUUUCGCUUGAUUGGCCAAAUGAUCCAUGUAUGGAGAUGAUGACCACUGAUCAGUGUCAGCAGACGAACUCUUCUCAUCCUCAGUCGCACCAUCAUCUGACCUUGACUUAGGGGAACUUAUUGAACUCAUAAUUUCCUGGAGGCCACCAGUAGAUGGAAACAUGGGAGUAUAAUCCUCUCUACUUCUUGGUGGAUUUUUCAAUGAAGCCUCCAUAUCUGCCCUCCAUUUGAGAACAUUUGGUAAUAGAUUAACAUCCCUUAUGUGCUUCAUCAACCUCUCUGUGCAAUCCCACCUACCUUGUUUAUGAAAUGCAAUCAAGAGCGAUGUUAUAGUGAUUAGGUCAACAACAAAGCCUCUUUCCUCCAUUUCUUCAACCAAGUGCAGUGCUUCCUCAAGAUGACCUUUCCUACAAAGUAGCAACACAACAAUGCUGUAGGUAACAGCAUCCACAAAUUGACCCUUCUUCUUCAAACCACAAAAUAAAUUGUAACCAGCUUCAGCCCUGCCAUUCUUGCACAACCCAUCAAUCAGAAUAUUGUACGUCCAACAUGAGGCCCUUACUCCAUCCUGAACCAUCUUCUCGAACAACUGGCAUGCUUCCAUAACUUUCCUUGCCUUGAACAUCCCAUCUAAAAGAGAAUUGUACACUACGGUAUCUGGAAGGAACCCAUUGUACUGCAUUUCACUAAAAAUCUUUGUUGCGUCUUCCAUUUGAUAAGAUUUACAGCACCCUUGUAUAAGUAUUCGAUAAGUAAAGGCAUCGGGCUCAUGACCAGACACCUUUAAUUCCUCAUACACAAUCACUGCGUCCUUCACCUUCCCAGCCAAGCAUAGAACAUGAAUCAGGCUAUUAUAGGUGCACAAAUCAGGAUCCAAUGACCCAGAAGCCAAACUCUUUUCCUUCAUCUCUUUAAAAAGCCUCAAAGAAGUAGUCAGAUCACCCCAACAACCAAAUGCAUGAAUGCAGAUGUUAUAACCCCAUGUAUUCAACUCGAACCCCCCUUUUCCCCUCAAUUUAGCAAAAACAGUUUUGAAUUCUACUUUCAUUUCUCCAUUUCGAAGCGCAACCAACAAAGCGUUGCAUGCUACGGAGCCCGGAAGUGAAACACCAACAGCAUUCUCUUCAUUACCAUCAGAAGCUUCUAGAAGCUUAAACAUUAUAGACAAUGCUAAACCCACCUGGUUUUUCUUAGCAAGUGCAACGAUAAUAGAAUCAUACAUAUGGGGGUUCGGGUUAGAUCCUAAUUCCUCCAUGUGAUCAAGAAUGUCAAGUGCAGAGUCAAACUUCCCAGAUCGAAUAAAUGCAUCAAGCAACAACUUAAAAGUCUCAGACCCAACAACAACACCAUCAUUCUUCAUUGAAUUCAGCAAAUCAGGAACUUCAUCAAGGUACCCAGAACGGCACAAAGUGGAAAACAUUUGAGAGUAUGUGCUCACCGAGUGUUUGUAAAUAUGCCGGACAGAACACCAUUUGAAAAAUUCCAUUUUCUUAGAGCUGUCAAGAGAGUUCCUCCGUAGGAUUUGGAGAACCAGAGAUUCUGAAAGAGGAAUUGAAUCUGGGUCCAGACUACGAGUGCCGGACUCGGAGAGGGUCUUGGUUAGAUAAGCCACCAGGAGUAUGUUUCCCAUUUGGUACGAUGACGAUGAAGAUGUUGAUAGAGGGGUUCUUGCGUGGUGUAAUGUGUUUGGUUUCGGGGUUUCCUUUGGGAAUCCAAAACAUGAAUGUCUUAGUUGUCUGGUUGUUGUUCUGCAUCUUGACAUUGCUGCCACCUGAUUCUUGUUUGAAAGGAUUAAAAGGCUGUGAAGUUGAACUGAUUUCUAAGUAAUAAAUUUUAUUUGAUUUCAUUUCUCAUUAAAGAAGUCUAAUGUUUGGAAUGAAAUCUUCAGUGAUAGAACUGAACUAGCCUCGGUGCCUGGUUUUACCGCGAGUCUGUAUUAUUUAAAAACAAAAAAAUAUUCAGGCAUUUAAAUGGGAUAAAAUAAUGAUAUAAAAAAUUAGUUACGAUAAGAUUGUAACAAGGCUGAUUAAAGUUAAGUUAACGAGAGAUAUUUUGUUAAACACGCUGUACAAAUUAUAUAAUUGAAAUAGCUUAAUAAAAAUAAAAAGAAUUAUAAUUUUUUUAAAAAAAUAUGUUAAUUUUUUAAAUAUAUGAGUCAAUUCAUUAGAGUUGUCACACUCAAUCAAAAAAAGUCAUAAAAUUUAAUUUUUAAUAAAUUAAAUAUAAAAUAAUAAAAUAAACUAUACAGAAAAUUUUAAAAAAUAGAAAUAUAAAAAAUAAUCAUCAAAAUUAUUAUUACUAUUAUUGUUAAUAAGUUAUAUAAUUAUUAUCAUCAUUAUCAUCGUUGUUGUUGCUAGCAUUAUCAUUAUUAAUAAUAAUAAUACCAGUUUUAUUGAUAUCGUUUUUAUUUUUAUAAUAAUAAUUAUUAUUAUUGUUACUAUUAUUACUAUCACUACUACUAUUAUUAUUAUUAAUAUUUUUAUCAUCAUUAUUCUUCUUCUCCUCCCUAUUAUUAUUAUGGUUAUAAUAUUAGUAAUAAUGGUAUUAAUAAUAGUAAUAAUAAUUUUAAUAUUGAUAAUAAUAAUAAUGAUGAUGGUGAUUAUAAUAUUAAUGAUACUAAUUCUUUUUUUUAGCCAUGAUUUCAAAUAAAAAAUUCUGUGAAAAAAAUUAAAAUCUGUGAACUCAAUUCUUUUAAUUAGAUUUCUUUCCAACCGUGAAAUUCAGGUGAAAUUGAAGAAUUGAAAUCAAUUCCGACACAAAACUUGAUUUUCCGAACAGCCUAAAAGUUUGUUCAUGUUCGCAUUCUCAAAAAACAUUGCAUUAUAUUAUUAUUAUUAUUAUUUGAUAGAAAUGAAUGUUCAUGUGAAAACAUGAACUUAAUGCCCGUGGAUAGCACUGUAUUUUUUCAAGAUUUUAGAAAGUUAUCUAAUAGAUAAUCUAGUGGUAAGAAUUUAAGAUAAAAAAAUUUAUUUUUUUUAUUGUUUCAAGUAAUUUUAGCAUUUGUGGGAUUAGUCGAGGUAUGUACAAGUUAACCCGGACACCCACAUUAAUAAUAAUAAAAAAAAAAUCAGGAAGUCUUUUGAUCAUCCCAGCACAGUUCCUUGUAUCAUUUUAUUUGUAGAAUCAAGAGAUUAUCGAGCUUCACCCUUAUAUGAUACAGUUGCAGGUUUGACUAGGUGGCUUCUCAACCGAAGGCUUUAGUCCUUUGACACCUUCUAAUUAUUCUACGAGAUGACAUGUCCGCGCGCUGCUGCAGGUUUAUAAAAUAAAUGUAUUUGAUAGUAUUAUAAUUAUAAAUCAGCGCUAGAUAAGUAAUAGAAAUUAAAGGUAUGAUGGAGCAAAUAUUUCAUGAUGAAAAAAAAGUUGUGUUGGUAAUCCAAAACUUAGAGACUGAACAAAAUGAUUUGUAGUAAUUUACAGUGUUUUGUGAGGAAAGAUAUAGUGCUUUCGCCACAUAAUUUAGCUUUUCAGUUAAUAAAAAGAAAAAAAAUUAUAAAGCUAAAUUCUCUACCAACUUAAUAUUAAAAAAAAACCAACAAAGAUAAUUUUGGAAGGAAAAAAACCCAUGAGAAAAAACGUUGUAGCAAUUGACAAUGUUUUGUGAGGAAAACUAUAACGUUUUUCUCAAUAAAAUAAAAUAAAAAACCAUUUAGAGAAAUAUUGUAGCAAUCCACAGUGUUUUGUGAGAAAAACUACAACGCUUUCCUUAUAUGAUUUAGUUUUAUUGUAAUUAUAAUUCUUAACCAACUCAAUAUUAAAAAAAAAUCGACAAAGAUAAUUUUGGAAAAAAUCAUUAAAAAAUCACACGGAAAAAUACUGCAACAAUUCACAGUGUUUUAAAGAAAAAAAUUAUAAAGCUAAAUUCUUAAUCAGCUCAAUAUUAAAAAAAAUAAUUCGACAUAGACAAUUUUAGAAAAAAAAAACAAAACAAACACCAAAAAAAGAAAAAACAAAUCAUGUUGGAAAUACUGUAGCAAUUCACAGUGUUUUGUGAUGAAAGCUACAAUGCUUCCCCACAUGAUUUAGCCUUAUUUGUAAUAACUUGUAAUUGUAAUUCACAAACAACUUAAUAUUAAAAAAAUAAAGUUGAAAAGGAUAAUUUGAAAAAAAUUAUAAAAAAAACCAUGUGGAAAAAAACACUGUAGCAAUAAACAAUAAUUUUCAAAAAAAGUUACAGUAUUUUUCUCACAUAUUGUAACUGUAAUUUUUAACCAACUCAAUAUUAAAAAAUAAAAUAAAAUAAAAUAAAGAUAAUUUUGGAGGAAAAAAAACCAUGCGGAGAAAUACUGUAGCAAUCAACAAUGUUUUAAAAAAAAAAUACAAAACCAAAUUCUUAAUCUGCUCAAUAUUAAAAAAAAUCGACAAAUAUAAUUUUGAAAAAUAAAGAAAUAAAAUAGAAAAACUAAGUGGAAAAACAUCACAGCAAUCCACAGCAUUUUAAAGAAAAAAAUUACAAAGCAAAAAUUUUAACCAGGUCAAUAUUUAAAAGGUAAAAUCAACAAAAAUAAUUUUGGAAAAAAAACAAAAAAAAAGAAAAGUUAAAAAAAAAAACAAACAAACAGGGAGAAAAAUCACUAUAGAUUAUUGUUGUAAUCCACGGUGAAAUGUGUAUGAGAAAAUGAUUCCUCCACACCCCAUUUAGAGUAUAUUUUAAUACGAAUAUCACUCAAAAGGACUGAAUGCUGGACACGACAUUUGACCUUCUAAUUACUGUGGUUCAACCAGAUGUUUGAGUAGGAUGACAUUUGACAGAGUUUCGGUCAUCCCCACUGCAAUUCCUUCAAUGUCGUUUUCAAUCCAUCGGUGUAGGAAAAAUUCAUCAGUAAUUAAGACAUAAUUCAAAAGGUCAAUGACUUCGACUCCCAGAUUCAGCAAAGCAUACAUAAUUUUGUUUUUAAAGAUCAAAUAUGUAGAAAUACCCAAUAUUUUAUUAUCAAAAUGUAGAAAUGUUUUUAGAAGAAUUGCAGAACCUUCCUAAAACAUGAUUAUCCAUUAUUGUCUGUUGUGAUUACCUUCACUGUUUACAUUUACUUCGAGGACACGUAUAUCAAAAUCGAUGAAUAAGGUUACAAAUAUGUGAAACAUUUCCGCUUCUUACUUCCUCGGUGUUAAGCCAUCUCAUGUGCUCGUUACUCAGGGCUGCCAACCUGUUUCUUUCUACGGACUUCUGUUCAAAGGAAAUGAAAAGGAGUAAGCAAACAAGGGAUGGCAUGAAACAGAAAACAGGAAUGCAUCGCCUCCUGACCAACAAAACAUUUGCGAAUUCAUUCCAAUGUGUCUUUUUAAUUCUUGUAGGUGCAAGUAUAAGUAUUAAUGAUAUGGUUAUCCUCUCAUUGGAGAGUAAUAUAAUAUAAGUUAGAGUUCCCUUCCUACCUUCUCUCCUAAUUUUCACUAACAACAGUUACUGACAUCAGAGAAACACAUGGCAAGAGAUGUAAAGAGGAGAACAUGUGCCUCACUUUGGUAUGAAAUGAGAUAGAGCAGGGGAAACCGUGUUCCUGGGAUAUAUCUUUUCAUAAUCAAGUGAACGGGGCAGAGAGAAAAUCAAGCAUGAUUUUUUGCAGCAUAAAGCAAAAGUGAACAACCUAGCACUGCACGCAUUUCCAAUGUCUUAUGUACUUUGUUGCUUAAAUACGAAGCAUCUGUAACAAAAGAAUGACACCAAAAAUAAUUUGGUCUUGACUCAUAGUGUUAGUAGACAAUGGUUCUGACAAUUGAACAAGUCAUUCUAUCCAAUAGGUACAUUUUCUCUAUCAUAUUUCUAUGAAGAAUCAUCAGGAUUUUAAGCUUCUUAUUAACAGGAAAUGGAUUGGGUAAUGUGCACAAGUAAUAGCAGCCUAAACUUUCAAUGAGCUUCGUGCAUCCAUUCAUAUGCUAAAUUUUCUAUAUUUAUGGGCUGUAGAUUAUGGUCCUUGAUAUUUAACUACACAGCCUUUCAUAUGCUAAAUUGUCUAAAGUCAUGGGCAAGAAGAUCAUGGUAGUGACAAUUAACUACACCAUGCAAUACAGUAAUUCAAGGACGAGAAAAAUGAAACUUAAUAUCAAUUGGAAAUGGCAAGUGAACAAAGAACAUUUUGAUAAAAAUAUGAGCACAAAUUAGUAUCAGCCAGCAGUACAGGUCAUUGAUCUUAAGUAAUUUAAUUGGUUUCAAUUCUUUACCAGAACACAUGCAAGAAAGCAAAAGGCACCGAUAUGCCAACAUACAAAGAAGAAAGCUUCAAUUUUGCAGGUCCUACUAGUUCUUGGUGACAUGCUCUGCAUGGAUGUCCUUAAGAGAUGCUAUCCAUUGUAUGCCUAGUAAAGUUUAAAACAUGUACAUAUGACUCAUUAAGGGUUGUUCAGCAAGCACUUACCUGCAUGGCUCUUGCUCCAAAGGACCUGACCAUCUACAGUGGUAAGGUGUUCAUCAUCAAGGCGCUUCCAUGUUUUGAUAGACUUGACAGCUCCCCAACCUCCUUGCUCUGUCUUUUCCAAAGAUGCCAUCACCACCCUCGCUCUCCUUGACCACCCUGCCUUCCCAUAGGCAUGGUAUCCAAAACCCCCAGCAUAACAAAGUUGUAUACCAGUAAGCUCACCACAGAAGUCAUUGAGAUGAUCAUGUCCAGUGAAAACGCCUUUCACAUCCCCAGCUUCUACCAUGGUUGUGAAGAAGCCCGAGUUCACAGAAGCAGAGCUAAUGCCUUCUUGUCUCACUCCUGUGAAGUUUGAUGAAUCAAAACUUGCAAAUUCAGGCAAUGGGAUGUGAAAGUACACCAGCCCAGGUGCAGGUCCUCUCUGAGCCUCUGGCUGUCUCAUGUAUGCUCUCUGAACGGAAAGGGAAAAAUGGGAAUUCAACAGCUAAUAAUUAAGCUAAUGCACCUUUUAGAAGUUAAGACUAUGCAUAAUGUAGAUUCUACUUGUGUGUAGACAAACUAGUGAUUCUUUUUACUGAUAAAUGAUGGAAGUAAAUCAUACAGUGACCUACAAAUUACUUCAACCGUAUAAAAGAGUGGUGUUAUUACCCGAAGCUUCGCAGAGGUGCGUUGGAACCAAAGCUGCUGAGAGGGUUUAAUCCAACCAUAGCCAUGGAUUGCCGGAACUGUGGAGUAGUCUCCGCUAUCAAGGAAAUAAAGAUUAAGAGCUGAUUUAUUUUCAAAUCGUGAACCUUUAACCCCGCCAAUCUCCAGGUUAUAGUUCCCAAAACCAUCAAUGAUGUGUACCUCCGCAGGAUUGACUUGAGAGAGAGUAUUCUUAAGGCCAACAAUAUGUUUCAUAACCCCUUCCCUUGACAAAGUGGAUUGUUGGUCAUGAUUCCCCAAAAUAGCAGCCCACGGGAUGUUUGAUGCAAUUGCAGGCUGAAAUGCAGCACUCAGUGAUUUUGCAGCAUCCGUGGCAUGAACGCCAAAAAUGUUAUCCCCUGUUUCCCAAAGUGCCAAUAAUACUUCCAUUAGCUCAGAUUGUGAAAGGAGCAUACUUGUUAGAGCUUACCCACUACAUGCCAUAUAUACUGUUACCAAAUUAGGAAACAUGCUUCGGUAAACAAAUUAACAACUGGGUUUUGUUGUUUAUAUCCAAAUUUCAGAAUAACAAUCAUAUAUAGACCAAAAAGAAAAAAAAACCAGAACCAAGAACAUAACUGGGAAUUAGAAAAGGAAAGGGUAAAUAAGAGUAUAGGGGGUACCAGUGAAAACAACAAAAUCGGGCUUCUCAGCUUGAAUCAUGCGCUCAACAAAGGCAGUGGUGUUGAGGUCAGAGCAAGUAGGCAUCUGAUUUGGGAACACAUUAAGGCAUGACGUGGUCUUGCCAUCCGCAUAGUGCAUAUCUGCCACUUGCAGUAUCUUGAACUCUCCAUUUUUUCUAAAUCGCAGCUCUUUUUUCACACCCAACACAGAUUUUGGAACGAAGAAGCAGAGGGAAAAAACCACAACCCCC
rnacentral:lncRNA from 1 species